rnacentral:rRNA from 1 species
UGGGGAAUUUUGGACAAUGGGGGCAACCCUGAUCCAGCCAUCCCGCGUGUGCGAUGAAGGCCUUCGGGUUGUAAAGCACUUUUGGCAGGGAAGAAACAGCCUGGGCUAAUAUCCCGGGCGACUGACGGUACCUGAAGAAUAAGCACCGGCUAACUACGUGCCAGCAGCCGCGGUAAUACGUAGGGUGCAAGCGUUAAUCGGAAUUACUGGGCGUAAAGCGUGCGCAGGCGGUUCGGAAAGAAAGGUGUGAAAUCCCAGGGCUUAACCUUGGAACUGCACUUUUAACUACCGGGCUAGAGUACGUCAGAGGGGGGUAGAAUUCCACGUGUAGCAGUGAAAUGCGUAGAGAUGUGGAGGAAUACCGAUGGCGAAGGCAGCCCCCUGGGAUGAUACUGACGCUCAUGCACGAAAGCGUGGGGAGCAAACA